rnacentral:rRNA from 1 species
UACGUAGGGUGCAAGCGUUGUCCGGAAUUAUUGGGCGUAAAGAGCUCGUAGGCGGUCUGUCGCGUCUGCUGUGAAAACUCAGGGCUUAACCCUGAGCUUGCAGUGGGUACGGGCAGACUAGAGUGCGGUAGGGGAGACUGGAAUUCCUGGUGUAGCGGUGAAAUGCGCAGAUAUCAGGAGGAACACCGGUGGCGAAGGCGGCUCUCUGGACCGUAACUGACGCUGAGGCGCGAAAGCGUGGGGAGCAAACAGG